AACGAACGCUGGCGGCGUGCCUAACACAUGCAAGUCGAACGAAAAGUUCGGGUCUUUUGGCGUCCGGCGGCGUAACGCGUGGGAAGCGUCCCUUGUGUUCGGAAUAACUCUCCGAAAGGGGUGCUAACGCCGGAUAAGGUCUUCGGCCGAAUGAUUUAUUGCCUUUGGAUGGGCCCUCGUUGGAUUAGCUAGUUGGUAGGGUAAAAGCCUACCACGGCGACGAUCCAUAGCUGGUCUGAGAGGAGGAUUAGCCACACUGGGACUGAGACACGGCCCAGAAUCCUACGCGAGGCAGGAGUGGGUGACAUUGGACAACGGGGGGAGGCAUGAUCCAGCACUGACGGGUAAGUGAUGUAGGCAUUAGAGUUGUAAAGUGCUUUUACCCGGGAUGAUAAUGACGGUACCGGGUGAAUAAGCUCCGGCUAACUCCGUG
rnacentral:rRNA from 1 species